UCAGGCGUAACAGCCGCUUACACAGAGGCAGUGACCGCAGAGACUCGUGAAGAGCAGCAUCUGUUAACAGAACAUACACGAGAUAUAAGGUUACACCUGCGCCCUCAAGAAGGACAUACUGUACCAGGGGAGGCUGUUUGUGUCCGACAACUGGAUUUGUUUCCAUUCAAAAGUGUUUGGAAAAGACACAAAGAUUGCGAUUCCAGUGUCUUCAGUGACUGUCAUCAAGAAAACGAAGACGGCCAUCUUGGUGCCAAACGCACUGGUGAUUUCUACAGCACACGAGCGGCAUGUGUUUGUGUCGUUUCUGUCUCGAGACACGACUUUCAAAGUUUUGAUGUCCGUGUGCCCUCAUCUGGUUGAGAAGAGUCUUGGAAACAGUCAGAAGAUUCUGGGAGCUCAUCCGGCGUCUCUGCCCACGGUAAGACCGUUUCAGCUCAUCCCGUCAUCGAUCAGUUUUCCUGCGUUACAUUCAGAUACAUUCAUGAUGUCUGUGCACAGGA